rnacentral:rRNA from 1 species
UACAGAGGGGGCAAGCGUUGUUCGGAAUUACUGGGCGUAAAGGGCGCGUAGGCGGCCUUGUAAGUCUCGUGUGAAAGCCCUCGGCUUAACUGAGGAUCUGCACGGGAUACUGCGAGGCUUGAGUUCGGGAGAGGAAAGCGGAAUUCCGGGUGUAGCGGUGAAAUGCGUAGAUAUCCGGAGGAACACCAGUGGCGAAGGCGGCUUUCUGGACCGACACUGACGCUGAUGCGCGAAAGCUAGGGGAGCAAACGGG